AUUUUUCCAGCCGCAACAAUACCAUCAGCCACCAACAUACAGACAUAUUAAUCCUAAUUAAUUAAAACAAAAAGAAAAAACUCAAACAGAAUUGCAACUAACGCGUGAACCCUAUUUCUCACCAUUCAUCCAUACUACAUCAAUUCAUUCACUCAUCAACACACUAAACAAACACAGAUCCUAACUACCUAUCUCACCAAAAUCAUCUCAACCCUCCUUUAAUUUUCUUACGUGGAUCACACUAAGAGUUUCCCUUAAAAAACCAUUUCUCUUCAUUUUUCCCCUCCCCCCAUUUUUUCCACUUCACCCUUCUAUAAAUCACCCUCAUACUCACUCAGUUUUCAUCAACAGAAUAACAUUGUUACUCUGCAAAACCUCCCUCAACCAGACACAAGCAACACACAGAGCGAAGCAGAAAAUAGUAGGAAAAAGGAGAGAAGUGUGAAGCAUUGCAAAGAAGCAAAGAUAAAUAGCUUCAGAAGUGUACCUGAGGUAUAACGGUUAUUAGAGGCACCGCCGGAAUACUCUCUGAAGUUGUAUACUCCGAUGAGGUUAGGGUUUUUAAGGUUUUUACCCUUUGAUCCUAUCAUGUGGUGAGGUUUUUGAUCAUUCCGAGGUUGGAUUUGGAUGGAGGAUGAAAAUUACAGGGGGUUACUAUUGUUUGUUCA